UACAGAGGUCUCAAGCGUUGUUCGGAUUCAUUGGGCGUAAAGGGUGCGUAGGUGGCGCGCUAAGUCAGGUGUGAAAUUUCGGAGCUUAACUCCGAAACUGCAUUUGAUACUGGCGUGCUUGAGGACUGGAGAGGAGACUGGAAUUCACGGUGUAGCGGUGAAAUGCGCAGAUAUCAGGAGGAACACCGGUGGCGAAGGCAGGUCUCUGGGCCGAUACUGACGCUGAGGAGCGAAAGCGUGGGGAGCAAACAGG
rnacentral:rRNA from 1 species